rnacentral:rRNA from 1 species
CAUCUCAGUACCCUUAGGAAAAGAAAUCAAUUGAGAUUCCCUCAGUAGCGGCGAGCGAACGGGGAUCAGCCCAUUAAGUUAUGUGUGUUUUAGUGGAACGCUCUGGGAAGUGCGAACGUAGAGGGUGAUAUUCCCGUACACGAAAGGGCACACAUAAUGAUGACGAGUAGGGCGAGGCACGUGAAACCUUGUCUGAAUAUGGGGGGACCAUCCUCCAAGGCUAAAUACUCCUGACUGACCGAUAGUGAACCAGUACCGUGAGGGAAAGGCGAAAAGAACCCCUGUGAGGGGAGUGAAAUAGAUCCUGAAACCGCAUGCAUACAAGCAGUGGGAGGCCCUUGGUGGUGUGAGUGCGUAACUUGUGUAUAGUGGGGCAGCGACUUAUAUUCAGUAGGGCGGUUAAGCGGAUAGGGGGGACGUGGAGAAAUCGAGUCUUAAUAGGGCGUUUAGUGGCUGGGUAUAGACACGGAAC